rnacentral:rRNA from 1 species
GAUGAACGCUAGCUACAGGCUUAACACAUGCAAGUCGAGGGGUAGCACGGAGGAAGCUUGCUUCCUUGGGUGACGACCGGCGCACGGGUGAGUAACGCGUAUCCUACCUACCCAUUACUCGGGGCACAGCCGCUCGAAAGAGUGAUUGAUUCCCGAUAUGUCAUUGGAGUAGAUUCAAUGAUGAAAGAUUCAUCGGUAAUGGAUGGGGAUGCGUAAGAUUAGGUAGUAGGCGGGGUAACGGCCCACCUAGCCGACGAUCUUUAGGGGUUCUGAGAGGAAGGUCCCCCACACUGGUACUGAGACACGGACCAGACUCCUACGGGAGGCAGCAGUGAGGAAUAUUGGUCAAUGGUCGGAAGACUGAACCAGCCAAGUAGCGUGAAGGAUGAAGGUUCUAUGGAUUGUAAACUUCUUUUAUACGGGAAUAAAACCUCCCACGUGUGGGAGCUUGUAUGUACCGUAUGAAUAAGCAUCGGCUAACUCCGUG